rnacentral:tRNA from 2 species
AGCUUUAUAGUCAAUAAUGAUAUUAGACUGCAAUUCUAAAGGAAUAAAUAUUUUAUUAAAGCUU